CGAGCUCUUUGCUGUGUGGACACAGGGUGUUGUUUGAAGUCCUGGGAUCAAGGCCCCUCUUUGCCUCUUCGUGUGACUUUGGGUGGCCUGCAACGUAGGGACCCAGAGCGCGGCUUGUGCCAACCAUCACAUCUCAGCUCCAGUUCCUCCACAGCUGCUGCUUCACCUGGGGCAAAUGGCUACCACCCUCAGGGCCUGUUUGCUCAGGCAUUUAGAGAGAGUCAGAGGGGUCACCAUCAGACCACCCUGCGGGAAGCCUGGGGCUGACCACAUCCCAACAGCUUCAGGAUUGAAGCCUAUACAGCUUGGUGGGCCAAUCAGAGUGCCAAACUCCUGGCCAAUUAGCAUAAUGCCCACCUGGGAUUAGUUCAGAGAUGGACACCAGCUAGGGCAGGCAGGACCAAUAGUGGCCUUUAAGCCAGAAUACUCCAGAAGAGAUAGGGUGACUACACCACACUGGAACCUCAGCAGCCCAGGUGCAGGCUGGCUGACCACCAUCUCGCCUCCACAGGAAGCCUAUAAAAAAAGCUAUCAUGGAGGAGAUCAAAUAAAACCA